CUACGGGCCGCUCCAGUGGGGAAUAUUGGACAAUGGGGGAAACCCUGAUCCAGCAAUGCCGCGUGUGUGAAGAAGGCCUGCGGGUUGUAAAGCACUUUCGGUUGGGAGGACUGCUUCUAGCACUAAUAUUGUUGGAAGUUGACGUUACCUUCAGAAGAAGCACCGGCUAACUCCGUGCCAGCAGCCGCGGUAAUACGGAGGGUGCAGGCGUUAAUCGGAAUUACUGGGCGUAAAGCGCGCGUAGGCGGCUAGAUCAGUCGGGUGUGAAAGCCCCGGGCUUAACCUGGGAACUGCAUCCGAUACUGUCUAGCUCGAGUACAGGAGAGGAGAGUGGAAUUCCACAUGUAGCGGUGAAAUGCGUAGAUAUGUGGAGGAACACCAAUGGCGAAGGCAGCUCUCUGGCCUGAUACUGACGCUGAGGUGCGAAAGCGUGGGGAGCAAACAGGAUUAGAUACCCCUGUAGUC
rnacentral:rRNA from 1 species